rnacentral:rRNA from 1 species
CCCUUAGACGUUCUGGGCCGCACGCGCGCUACACUGACCAGUGCAACAAGCAUCCGUCCUUGGCCGACAGGCCCGGGCAAUCUUUGAACGCUGGUCGUGAUGGGGAUAGACUUUUGCAAUUUUUGGUCUUCAACGAGGAAUUCCUAGUAAACGCAAGUCAUCAACUUGCAUUGAUUACGUCCCUGCCCUUUGUACACACCGCCCGUCGCACCUACCGAUUGAAUGGUCCGGUGAAGCCUCCGGAUUGGCGCGCACCUCGGUGCCGCCGAGAAGUUGGCUAAACCUUACCAUUUAGGGGAAGGUGAAGUCGUAACA